rnacentral:rRNA from 1 species
GAUGAACGCUAGCGGCAGGCCUAAUACAUGCAAGUCGAACGGGAUCCAGAUUGUAGCUUGCUACAGUUUGGUGAGAGUGGCGUACGGGUGCGUAACGCGUGAGCAACCUGCCCAUAUCAGGGGUAUAGCCCGGCGAAAGUCGGAUUAACACCGCAUAACAAUGCAGUACCGCAUGGUGCCGUAUUUAAAUAUUUAUAGGAUAUGGAUGGGCUCGCGUGACAUUAGCUAGUUGGUAAGGUAACGGCUUACUAAGGCUAUGAUGUCUAGGGGCUCUGAGAGGAGAAUCCCCCACACUGGUACUGAGACACGGACCAG